UUUUUCGGUCAUGACAAGCUGUGGCCUCACCAAGCAUACCUCACCCUGAAGUCUGGCUGGGAAGGAGAUCGCAGCGUGAUGGAGAGGAAACGCAUUUAUGUGCUCAGGAGGAAGACGAGAGAGAGAAAAGGAAGGUCAGGAGGGGGAGAAUCAAGAUGCCAAGGAGGGGCCAAGGCUGUCGAGCUCUCAGGAGGGGUUGCCCUUGGGCAGGUGGGGAUACCAGAAGCUGUGAGGACUCAGAGGUUAACUGCAUGGUUAGCCACUGCUGACAGCUCAGGAGACACUCCAGUGAAGGACCCUCAGGAUGCAACUCUUGGAUGCUGUAGGUCUCCUUGUCCUUUCUCCUGCUUGAGCCUUCUACCCUCUUGCUCACUCAGACUAAAGGAGAGAGGAAGAAUGUCCCCUCUGGCUCCUCCUCUCACAGGUCCAGGAAGGCAGGAGGGGCAGCCUGCCAACCCAGCACAUCAACCUUCCACUGGCAAAGGUCAGCCUGCCUGGAAUAAGGAAGUACCCACAGCCGGGAAAGGUAAAUCCAAACCCAAAAAUACAGAAACGAAGCAUCUCAAUCAACAGGGGCCUGCAGCAUCCUUGCAGAGUGCUGUUUAUGAGGCAAUAAGCCAUUUAAAUGCUCUGUUUUGGAACCCACAAGGUCUCCUUGAACAGCUUAUGAGGAGAUACUGCUAAUCAGAGCUCCAGAAGGACUGGAGAGCGAGACUGGGACACCACAGCCUUGGAGCUGCAGAUUUCCUCGGGGUUGGGGUGGGGAGGCUGCCGGGGGGAGCACCAGCACUGCAGAGGAGGCUACGAGGUGGGUGCCCUUGGGAAAGCCUCCAGGGUUCAGGCAGGGCAGCAUGAAGCAUGGGUACUAAAGGUCAAUCUUGUGCCCUCUGCAGAUUGUGAGGCAGAGAGACAUUUUUUUUUUUUUUUUUUUUUUUUUUUUUUUUUUUUUUUUUUUUUUGCUAUGGGCAGCAAGAGAGAGGGCUAUAGUAUGAUGGUUAAAAGCCUGGCAUGGGUCAUGAGCUUAAAUCCAGACUCUGCCAUCUGUCUGCUAUCUGACCAUGGUAAAUGUAGGUACUCUCUCUGUGACUCGGUUUGGUCACCUGUCAGAUGGGGAGGAGAGUAAUAAUAGGCCUGUCUUAUUGCAGUUUUGAUGCUUAAAUAAGAUAAUAUAUAUUAUGCACUUAGCAGGAAGCCUAGCACAUGGUAAGUGCUCAAAAAAAAAAAAUGAGCUAUUAUCAAGAAUGUUACCACCAUAACCAUCUCUUCCCAUCUAUCCUUUUCCCAGCUUCAAAGACAGCAAGGGUCCCUAGGGGAUUAACACAUAUUAACUGGACACCUAUGUCUGGGAAGGUGAUAUGACAACACAAAUUCCAGGUCCAGAUCAGCUCUCACAGCUGAUGGAGGGAAAGGGCAGAAGCUGGAGAGAGUAAAGCGGCUGAUGCCAAGUGAACCACCUGAAAAUGGCCUCACAGGAGGGCCAUUGGUUAGUGGUCCCUUCAGGGCAGCGCAUCGGGAACUCUCUGACAUAGGAACUGGCAAAGCUAGACAUGACCACACACCCUUUUGUAGAAGGCAAAAUAGUUGGGAGAGGGUCUCAGUUUUGAAUAUCUAUCAUCACCCAUAAGAAAUACAAUGUUCUCGGGAGUGCCCUUUGUGGCUCAGCAGAAAUGAAUCUGACUAGUAUCCAUGAGGACUUGAGUAUGAUUUCUGCCCUUGCUCGGUGGGUUAAGGAUCCAGCGUUGCUGUGAGCUGUGGCGCAGGUCACAGAUGUGGCUCGGAUCCUGUGUUACUGGGGCUGUGGUGUGGGCUGGCAGCUACAGCUCUGAUUAGAUUCCUAGCCUGGGAACCUCCAUAUGCCAUGGGUGCAGCCCUAAAAAGACAAGAAAGGGAGGAAGAAAGAAAUACAAUGCGCUGAUGUUAAAAUGAAGAUGUGGAUUUGGAGAACAGACUUGUGGUUGCCAAGAGGGAGGGGGAGGGGAAGGGAUGGACUGGGAAUUUGGGGUUAAUAGAUGCAACCUAUUGCCUUUGGAAUGGAUAAGCAAGGGGAUCCUGCUGUAUAGCACUGGGAACUAUGUCUAGUCACUUGUGAUGGAGCAUGAUAAUGGGAGACAAAAGAAUGUAUAUAUGUAUGUGUGACUGGGUCACUUUGCUGUACAGUAGAAAAUUGACAGAACACUGUAAAGCAGCUAUAAUGGAAAAAAAAUAAAAUCAUUAAAAAAAAAAGAUGUGGAGAAAAG
rnacentral:lncRNA from 1 species